UUUCGCCUCGUGAGCGAGGGUCGGGCUC
rnacentral:sRNA from 1 species